AUUGAACGCUGGCGGCAGGCCUAACACAUGCAAGUCGAGCGAGCGGCGGACGGGUGAGUAAUGUAUGGGGAUCUGCCCGAUAGAGGGGGAUAACUACUGGAAACGGUGGCUAAUACUGCAUACUAUCGGAUGAACCCAGAUGGGAUUAGCUAGUGGGUGGGGUAAAGGCUCACCUAGGCGACGAUCUCUGGCUGGUCUGAGAGGAUGAUCAGCCCCACUGGAACUGAGACACGGCCCAGACUACUACGGGAGGCGGCAGUGGGGAAUAUUGCACAGUGGGCGCAGGCCUGAUGCAGCCCUGCCGCGUGUAUGAAGGAGGCCUUAGGGUUGGAAAGUAAUUUCAGCGGGGAGGCUUUACCCGCUGAAGAAGCACCGGCUAACUCCGUGCCAGCAGCCGCGGUAAUUC
rnacentral:rRNA from 1 species